GAUGAACGCUGGCGGCGUGCCUAAUACAUGCAAGUCGAGCGAACAGACGAGGAGCUUGCUCCUCUGACGUUAGCGGCGGACGGGUGAGUAACACGUGGAUAACCUACCUAUAAGACUGGGAUAACUUCGGGAAACCGGAGCUAAUACCGGAUAAUAUAUUGAACCGCAUGGUUCAAUAGUGAAAGACGGUUUUGCUGUCACUUAUAGAUGGAUCCGCGCCGCAUUAGCUAGUUGGUAAGGUAACGGCUUACCAAGGCAACGAUGCGUAGCCGACCUGAGAGGGUGGUCGGCCACACUGGAACUGAGACACGGUCCAGACUCCUACGGGAGGCAGCAGUAGGGAAUCUUCCGCAAAGGGCGAAAGCCUGACGGAGCAACGCCGCGUGAGUGAUGAAGGUCUUCGGAUCGUAAAACUCUGUUAUUAGGGAAGAACAAAUGUGUAAGUAACUAUGCACGUCUUGACGGUACCUAAUCAGAAAGCCACGGCUAACUACGUG
rnacentral:rRNA from 1 species